GAGUUUGAUCGUGGCUCAGAUUGAACGCUGGCGGCGUGCUUAACACAUGCAAGUCGAACGAAGAGAAUAGAAAGCUUGCUUUUUGUUUUCUGAGUGGCGGACGGGUGAGUAACGUGUGGGCAACCUAUCCUAAACAGGGGAAUAAUCAUUGGAAACGAUGACUAAUACCGCGUAAUGUCGCCGAAAGGCAAUCUUUUGGCGAAGAGAGGAGCAAUCCGGUUUUGGAGGGGCCCGCAUCUGAUUAGCUAGUUGGUGAGAGUAACAGCCCACCAAGGCAACGAUCAGUAGCCGACCUGAGAGGGUGAUCGGCCACAGUUGGGACUGAGACACGGCCCAAACUCCUACGGGAGGCAGCAGUGGGGAAUA
rnacentral:rRNA from 1 species